CUGACAACGUGAUAGCAGAUUCUCUGUCUAGGUGUUAAUUGUAAACUAUGUAAACCAUGUUUACUCUUAUGUGUGGGGGUGUUACGACCCUAUAGUUUUGUUGUGUUUUGUUCUGCUGGUUUGUGUGUGUCUGCCCAGGUUGCUGCUGAUUGGUUCCUGCAGACUCAUUGAUGUCGUCCUCUGAUUGGUCUUCUCUCCCUUAAAAGAGAUGACAGCAUUUCCUUCAGGGGGGGCAUUUUGUGAACCAUGCUGUUUGUUGGUGCAGUGCUUGUGCUGUUUUACCCCCAUUUGUAUGCUUAGAGAGAUUGUCUGGAUAUUCAUUGUUUGUGUAACGGUUUGGGGAGAUCAGCCUGGACAAUCCUCCGGGUAAGAUGAGGGGAGUGUGUUUCCAAUGAUGUCUUCAAUGGUGAGUUACUGACUGAUUGUAAUGGAGAUGCAGGUUGUGUUUUCAAAGAUAAUUUGUCCCCCUGAAGUGAAUCUCUGUUUGCUUCUUCCAGACAUGCAGCAAUUCCAGUUUCACUCUUCUCUAUUUUAGUCAUGGGGAAUGUAUUCUUUUGAUCGGUCCUUGUGGCAAGCUCACUGUGGGCAGCAGUGGAGUUGAAGACCUGGUCUGUAGUCUUCGGUGGAACUGUUACCUUAGGUAGCGUGAUGUAUCACUGCAGAAUUUACUUCCUCACAGUCAUUCACAUUUAUAUGUGGUGCAGCAUUUAUCUUGGCUUUGGUGGAGCUUUGAUUUGACCUCUCAAGGUUCAAUGCAGCCAACUUCAAUUGUUUUGAUGUUUUCAGAUUAAGAUCUGUUUUUGUAAGAUGACUAAUUUCAGUUAAGUCAGCUUCAUUUUUCUUUAUACUUUUGUCAGCAUUGUGAUGUUGCAUAGUGACCUUUUUUAAUCUAAUUACGUCUGAUGCAACAUUCUCAGUGACACAAUGACUUGAUGAUUCAGGUCCUUGAAUCAGGUUUUCUUGACUUAGUGGCUGUUGAUCAGGCUUGUUGACUUCAGAGGGUUGUGAAUGCAGGGAAAGGUCAAACUUUUCAUCACACAGACCUUCAGAUUCCAAAACAGCUGUGGUUUUGUUCGUGGUGUCUGUGCAAUCAGAUAUAUUACCUAUUUGACUGACAGUGUUGCUGUUUGUCAAAAUAGAGGUUACUGCAUUCGUUUCAGUUCUGAUUUCAACAGCAUCUACAGUGUGUUCUGUUUCUGCACUAUUGUGAGAUGUGCUGUCCACAUCUGUAAUAUAUAUUGCAGGAAUGGUAAAUUCUGUGGGUAAAACUUUUGAAUAUUGGGAGAGUAAUGUUGAGGGGCCAGAAUGAACAUUGCAUUUUUUUAGAGUAACUUUGCAUCUUGUGAUAAGUUGAUUUGGGUAGUUCAGAUAUGGUUACAUUAGAUUGUUCCUGUAUGUCCAUUUUAGCAACAUUGACUGUAGCUACAAAAGAGGCGUUCUGACACUCCUGGGCCUUAUUAUCUUUAAUUUGAACAUUAGAGAUUGAGGAGUCAUUCAUGGUCUGUGGUUGCACCACAUGUGAAUUUGUCAUGUGAAUUUCAGGUUCUGUGACAAUGACUUGAUUUGUGGAAUGGUUUGAAUUUGCCUUUGACUUUUCUUUAGAAAUACUGUUCUAUACGUGCACAAUUGUGUUGAUGAUUUUUAUCUCAUUUUCUUCCAUACUAUUCAAAGCCGUGGAUGCAAGUUUUGUUUCACCUUUGAGUUUGUCAGACUCUUUGAUUAGUUGAUUUUCAGCUUUGCUGUCCUUCUCAAACAUGUUAUCUAAUGUGUCAUCUCCCAAUGAGGAACUCACAGCUGUUGUAACCCUGCCGCCUUGAAACAUCUGUGAAACAUGACCUGAGGAGAUUUUCUCACUCGGUUGAGUGUUUGGCGGCUCAGUGACAAGUGUACUGCUCUUUGUUGAUGCGACAGACUGAUCACCUGUUCUCAGCUUCUUUCCCUGUGAUGCAAGGUGGCAGGAACUGAGUGCUUCCGUAACACUCGCAGUGACCUCAUGCAUCAAUGAGGGUUGCUGCUUUAAAUCCAUGGACGCUUCCUUCUGAAAAGGAGGAAUGUCUCCACAAAUUGGUGGCUCUGUGGGUUGAGUUUGAGUAUCACCUGCAGCCUAAAAUCAUGGAAUUAUAGACAUAUUAUUAUAGACAUACUGGUUCAGCUGGACUGUACUAAUGCCAAAUCCCUAAACACUGUAAAUCUGCAGGAAGAUUCUGCCACUUAGCACCUCAGUCAUUAAUCUAAAAUCAAAGAUCAUUGUGUUAGCUGAACCUCGGUUAAUAUUAUCACUUGAUUAUCUCUCAUUUCGCUAGGAUAAGAGAAAAUAAGUGGAUUCAACAUUACUUUAUUUGACAGACCCCAUAUUAAAUAAUGUGAAUUCACGAAUUAUAUGAUUACAAGUUAGAAUAAGAAGCCACCUGUUUUCAGUUGACUAGGUCUAUCUUUGUUUCUUAUUUAGCAUCUAUUGCCUUGGGGAAGCUGUUGCACUGCCCAUAUUUAGAGAGUAUUUUGAGGUUUUAUGAGAUCAGAGGGGAAUGUGAGAUAUUAAAAGGAGAGCAGCUGGUCUGUCCACAGAACUUACAGCUUACACAGUAAAGUUAUAUUUUGUAUCUACUUUUAAAACGUCAUAGCAACAGGUGAUUAGGGACAGCAAACACAUUUGAUGGAUCUUAGGAUCUCUAUACUUCCAUGUGCUCUGGAGCCACAAUGUCCGUAAUGGGAAUAUUAUCAUUGUCUGUUACCCUACUUCUGUGUCAUAUAAGAUGGGUCUUGUCACAUCAUCAAAGUCAUCCUUGCCGCUCUAUUUAUAGUUUAUGAUUGUGACUGAGGGGGGGGUACUGGUCUCACUACCACUGGGAACAUUACGCUCACAUGACAUCAUGGCCAAAGCAUGAGGAAACACUCACCAAGCUUCUAAGAGAGCAUGCAGAUGCAUUCCUCACCCUUGUGUCCACAUUGACGUCAUUCCCACCACAGGAAUGAGGAAAGAUCCUCACACAUGUACCUACUGGAGUUUUAUUUCCAUGGUCAUCAAAAUCCAUGAGCUUGUUGUCUAUAAGUCUUGGAUUACAGUUCUGGAUAGUAUCUAGAGCUUGAAGUUGGAUGUUUGAUGUCCCUUUGUCAGAUGAUUCAGUUAGCUUUGUGCUUUCAACCACCUUGUCUGCACUCAAAAAAAAUGAAAUGUGGCUGCUGUUGGUCCAAAUAAUGUAACUAUGUUUAAAUUAAAUAAUUCCCUUACGUUUGUGUAUUAAAAUUAAAAGAGUUGUGUUGACCAAAUUAGAAAAAGUCAUAUUUCAAAUUUACACAGUUCACUUAAGUAAAGUGAAUGAAAUGGAGUUGAGUUGCUUCUGCAGUACCGCAGAUGGACAGUACAUUCAAAGAUCAUUCUUCAGCGAUCGGCGCCAUUUUUGAAUCAGACGAAGAUCACAGUGCCAAACGAGGAAUGUUUUCUUUAUGUGGAAACACAGAGUUUUAUAGUCCUACAUGUGGCUGUGCAGAGAUUGUGGUUCCUCUCACACAUCCAGAUCAAAUCCAGCACUCUUUACAGAGCAAGAGGUAACGUUGAGUCUUUGUAAUGUCAGCUGUGAUGAAUUACU